AAUGUCCACCUUGGGCCCUUUGAUGUCAACUUCAGGCCCCUUGAGGUCACCUUCUACUUUGGGCAAAGAAACAUCCACAUCACCCUUCAGCUUUGGACCCUUCAGAUUCAGGUCAACUUCAGGCAUGGAGACCUUGGGGGCCUUGAGGUGCAGAUCAGGCAUCUUGAACUUGGGGCCUUUUAGUUUCCCUUCUGGACCCUGAAUGUCAAUGUCCGGAGGGUCCAUGUCCACCUUAGGGCCUUUCAGAUCUCCUUCUAGUUUGGGAAUGGAAACAUCCACAUCUCCCUUUACCUUAGGUCCUUUCAAGUUCAAAUCAAUGUCACUCAUGGAGAUUUGUGGGGUUUUGAAAUGGACAUCAGGCAUCUUAAAUCUAGGACCUUUGAGUUUGCCUUCAGGAACUUCAAUGUCCACCUCUGGCCCCUGCAUAUCACCUUCCAUUUUAGGUAGUGAAAGAGACACCUCCCCCUUUGACUUUGGCCCUUUGAGAUUUAAAUCAAAGUCAGGCAUGGAAAUCUUGGGGGCCUUCAUGUGCAUCUCUGGCAUUUUAAAUUUGGGACCCUUUAAUUUUCCUUCUGGACCUUCAAUACUAACGUCAGGAGCAUCAAUGUCCACACCAGGGCCCUUGAUAUCAAGUUCGGGGCCCUUGAGGUCACCUUCUACUUUGGGCAGAGAAACAUCCACAUCUCCUUUCACUUUGGGACCUUUCAGGUGUAAAUCAAGGUCAGGCAUGGAGAUCUUGGGGGCCUUGAUGUUCACCUCAGGCAUCUUGAACUUGGGACCCUUCAGUUUUGCAUCCGGACCUUCGAUAUUCACAUCCGGAACAUCAAUAUCAACCUUGGGCACUGAGACGUCAAUGUCGGCCUUGGGCAGGUUCACAUCCACCUCAGGACCUUCUGCUUUGAAACCAGGCAUGCUGAACUUGGGCAUUUUCAUCUUGGGCAUCUUCAGGUGCCAGUCUGGGCCAUGAACAUCCACAUCUGGAGCAUCAAUGUGCACCUUGGGGCCUUUGAGGUCAACUUCUGGCCCCUUCAGAUCACCUGCAAGUUUUGGAAGAGAAAGGUCCAUAUCACCUUCCACCUUGGGGCCUUUCAGAUUUAAGUCGACAUCUGGCAUGGAGAUCUGGGGCGCUCUGAUGUUCACGUCAGGCAUCCUGAAUUUGGGACCUUUUAAGCCUCCGUCUGGACCCUCCACAUUGACGUCUGGGCCCUCAAUGCUCAGACCUGGACCUCCUAUGUUCAUGUCUGCUUUUGGCACAUCCACAGCCACAUCAGGCCCUUCUGCUUUGAAGCCAGGCACACUAAACUUGGGCAUUUUCAUUUUGGGCAUUUUCAGGUGCCACUCAGGACCAUGGACAUCCACAUCAGGUGCUUUAAGAUGGACUUCAGGUGCCUGCAUAUCCAAAUUUGGACCUUUAAUCUCUCCUUCUAUGGUAGGAGCUGCAACUUCUAAGUCUCCUUUGACUUUAGGGCCUUUUAAAUUUAGCUCUACAUCAGGCAUAGACACUUUGGGAGAUGAAAUGCUCAAAAAAGGCAUUUUAAACUUGGAUCCUUUCACUUUUCCUUGGACUUCAACAUCAGGGGCAUUAACAUCAAAUUUUGGACCAGAUACAUCAACAUCUGGUUUUUUAACUUUGACAUCCACCUCAGGUGUCUGAACUUUUGAGCCAGAAAAAUUAAAUUUAGGAAGCUUAAAACGAGAUUUCUUUGACUUGCCUUCAAUAUGGAGUUUAGGCCCAGAAACGUCCAUUUCUGGACCCUUUACAUCCAAUUUAGGAGCAUUAAUGUCACCCUCCAAUUUGGGGCCAGAUACAUCAAUAUCUCCCUUCAGCUUUGAGCCCUUCAAGUUCAAGUCAAUUUCUGGCAUAGAGAUCUUUGGCAUGUUGACGUGCAUGUCAGGCAUCUUCAAUUUUGGACCUUUUAAUUUGCCCUCUGGCCCAUGAAUGUGAACAUCUGGAAUGUCUACAUCUAACUUUGGGCCCUUUAAGUCAACUCUAGGCCCCUCGAAAUCGCCCUCUACAUUUGCAAGUGAGAUAUCCACAUCUCCUUUCACUUUGGGACCUUUAAUAUUUAGGUCCAAAUCUGGUAUGGAGAUCUUGGGAGCCUUGAUGUUCAUCUCAGGCAUCUUGAACUUGGGGCCCUUCACUUUUGCAUCUGGACCUUCGAUAUUCACAUCUGGAACAUCAAUAUCAACCUUGGGCACUGAGACAUCAAUGUCGGCCUUGGGCAGGUUCACAUCCACCUCAGGGCCCUCUGCUUUGAAGCCGGGCAUGCUGAACUUGGGC
rnacentral:lncRNA from 1 species